CCUACGGGGGGCAGCAGUGGGGAAUAUUGGGCAAUGGGCGCAAGCCUGACCCAGCAACGCCGCGUGAAGGAUGAAGGUUUUCGGAUUGUAAACUUCUGUCGCGAGGGACGAAGAAUGACGGUACCUCGUAGGAAAGCCCCGGCUAACUACGUGCCAGCAGCCGCGGUAAUACGUAGGGGGCAAGCGUUGUCCGGAAUGACUGGGCGUAAAGGGAGCGCAGGCGGCGCGUUAAGCCUGGUGUGAAAGCCCGCGGCCCAACCGCGGGACUGCAUUGGGAACUGGCGCGCUGGAGUGCCGGAGGGGUA
rnacentral:rRNA from 1 species